CAAGUCGAGCGAACGGACGAGAAGCUUGCUUCUCUGAUGUUAGCGGCGGACGGGUGAGUAACACGUGGAUAACCUACCUAUAAGACUGGGAUAACUUCGGGAAACCGGAGCUAAUACCGGAUAAUAUUUUGAACCGCAUGGUUCAAAAGUGAAAGACGGUCUUGCUGUCACUUAUAGAUGGAUCCGCGCUGCAUUAGCUAGUUGGUAAGGUAACGGCUUACCAAGGCAACGAUGCAUAGCCGACCUGAGAGGGUGAUCGGCCACACUGGAACUGAGACACGGUCCAGACUCCUACGGGAGGCAGCAGUAGGGAAUCUUCCGCAAUGGGCGAAAGCCUGACGGAGCAACGCCGCGUGAGUGAUGAAGGUCUUCGGAUCGUAAAACUCUGUUAUUAGGGAAGAACAUAUGUGUAAGUAACUGUGCACAUCUUGACGGUACCUAAUCAGAAAGCCACGGCUAACUACGUGCCAGCAGCCGCGGUAAUACGUAGGUGGCAAGCGUUAUCCGGAAUUAUUGGGCGUAAAGCGCGCGUAGGCGGUUUUUUAAGUCUGAUGUGAAAGCCCACGGCUCAACCGUGGAGGGUCAUUGGAAACUGGAAAACUUGAGUGCAGAAGAGGAAAGUGGAAUUCCAUGUGUAGCGGUGAAAUGCGCAGAGAUAUGGAGGAACACCAGUGGCGAAGGCGACUUUC
rnacentral:rRNA from 1 species